rnacentral:rRNA from 1 species
AGUGAAGCGGCAACAGCUCAAAUUUGAAAUCUGGCCCUCGUGGUCCGAGUUGUAAUUUGUAGAGGAUGCUUUUGGCGCGGUGCCUUCCGAGUUCCCUGGAACGGGACGCCAUAGAGGGUGAGAGCCCCGUCUGGUUGGACACCAAGCCUCUGUAAAGCUCCUUCGACGAGUCGAGUAGUUUGGGAAUGCUGCUCUAAAUGGGAGGUAUAUGUCUUCUAAAGCUAAAUACCGGCCAGAGACCGAUAGCGCACAAGUAGAGUGAUCGAAAGAUGAAAAGCACUUUGAAAAGAGAGUUAAAUAGUACGUGAAAUUGUUGAAAGGGAAGCGCUUGUGACCAGACUUGGGCUUGGUUAAUCAUCCAGGGUUCUCCCUGGUGCACUUGGCCGGCCCAGGCCAGCAUCAGUUUGCCGCGGGGGAUAAAGGCGUCGGGAAUGUGGCUCCCCCGGGAGUGUUAUAGCCCGGCGCGCAAUACCCUGCGGCGGACUGAGGUUCGCGCAUCUGCAAGGAUGCUGGCGUAAUGGUCAUCAGCGACCCGUCUUGAAACACGGACCAAGGAGUCGUCUUCGUAUGCGAGUGUUCGGGUGUCAAACCCCUACGCGUAAUGAAAGUGAACGCAGGUGAGAGCUUCGGCGCAUCAUCGACCGAUCCUGAUGUUCUCGGAUGGAUUUGAGUAAGAGCAUACGGGGCCGGACCCGAAAGAAGGUGAACUAUGCCUGUAUAGGGUGAAGCCAGAGGAAACUCUGGUGGAGGCUCGCAGCGGUUCUGACGUGCAAAUCGAUCGUCAAAUAUGGGCAUGGGGGCGAAAGACUAAUCGAACCUUCUAGUAG